rnacentral:lncRNA from 1 species
AGCCAGAAGUCGCCAAUCUGCUCUUCCACUCCUUUAUCCUCAUCAUAUCGCCGCAAAGAUCUCCUCUCCCACUCUCGUUCCCUUGCUACGGUGCAGAUCUCAUCCGUACUACAACCACAACGCCGUGGACACUGGACACCACCACCACAUCCUUGGCGGCACUCCCUUCUGCUGGUGGCAGCUCAACGAUUGCUUGCUACCGUUGUGGCACUGGCGGUUUAUGAUGCUGCUGGGUCACCGUUGUGGCGCCGCCGACGAACCGCGAGCCCGUACACCGGCGUUGUCCCCUCCGCGUGGGCCGACCUAGACGGAAGGCAACGGAUCCAGCACCUUUCACCUCCAACGGCGCGGCCUCCUCAACUGAGCGGCGACGGCUGGACCUCCUCCGACUAGGUGGUAGGACGAAAUCCAUCCCUCUCUUGCUUCUUGAGUUGGUUCAACUUUUUUGGGCCGAUUUGGUUUACUUGCAUGGACGAAAUCCCUUCCUCUCUUUACUUAAUUCACUUGUGAUCCAACCCUUGUAUAAAAUAGGGUACAAGACAUAGGUAAAGAUUGUUGAGGGUAGAAUAAAUAGGUACAGAUCGUAUGGUGUUGAAUGUUCUUUACUUUUUCCUAUAUAAAUACAACAACGAUGUACAUAUAAAAGGUCUUCUUAGAUGUAAUUAUAUGGCAUAGAAAUAAGUCUUGCAUGUGAUUGUUAGCAUGUUGGGUUUGUGAAGUGUGAGCAGUAGCCAACGCAUAUAUUCCUUGUGUGAUUUUGAUAGCUUGGUGAGGAGCUCGAUGCGGGAGGGCGACCUGCAGCAGCGUCGGCGACAGCGACAGACGACUCCCUUACCCUUGCACCCCAUCUUCUCCAUGUAUCAUGCACUCUCGCACCGGUAUAUGGCAUACAAAUAAGUCUUGCAUGUGAUUGUUAGCAUGUUGGGUUUUUGAAGUAUGAGCAUAGCCAACGCAUAUAUUCCUCAUGUGAUUUUGAUAGCUUGGUGAGGAGCUCGAUGCGGGAGGGCGACCUGCAGCAGCGUCGGCGGCAGCGACAGACGACUCCCUUACCCUUGCACCCCAUCUUCUCCCUGUAUCAUGCACUCUCGCACCGGGGCACACCAUCUUUGUCCUCUCUAAUGGCUCCUCCCCCAUCACUACUACUACACCGGUGUCAUGCUAGCCGAGAUUGUCGCCGGGGCCAACAUAAGAGUAAGAGUUCAUGACACAUACGAGUUCUAAAAUUACUGGUCUCAAUGUUUAGUGCACCUAAAACUGCUUUGGUGCAGUAGAAAGAAUGAGAAAUAUAGGGCCCAGCGGAGCAAAGGAAAAGUGUAACAGAAAUUAGAGAGUUGGAGGGUUCUCAGACUAUCAGAGAUUGAAAAGCCCCAAGGAUAAGAAGCAUUUGGAGCUGCAAAAAUGUGACAUAUAUUUCUUUAAAUAUUCACAUCAUGUAUUGUGACUGAUUUUUCUUUUUGAAGGAACCAGGGAUUAAUUACAAUUGGAAAAUGUGACAUAUAUUUCUUGAAAUAUUCACAUCAUGUACUGUGACUGAUUUUCCUUUUUGAAUGAACCGGGAACUAAUUACAAUUGGAUGUAAUCUCGACAUAUAGCUACGCCAACAGAGGUUGUUGGAUGUCAACAUCUAAUCACAACAUCUUUGUAUUUAUUACAAACUCUAAUUUUCUUGGAUUUACUAGCAUUUUCAUGGAAAGACAAUACAGUAUUUGUUUCCAAUGGUAUCAAUUUGUAUCACUGUUGUUGUAUUCCAUCUUGACUAGAGAUUAUGCUAGAAUGAGUGAACUCCUACCAUCCA